GCUACGGGCGGCAGCAGUGGGGAAUAUUGGACAAUGGGGGAAACCCUUAUCCAGCGACGCCGCGUGAGGGAAGGAGGUUUUCGGAUUGUAAACCUCUAUCAGUGGGGACGAUAAUGACGGUACCCACGGAGGGAGCCACCGCUAACUACGUGCCAGCAGGCGCGGUAAUACGUAGGUGGCAAUAGUUGUCCGGAAUUACUGGGUGUAAAGGGUGCGUAGACGGUGCAGCAAGUCUGAUGUGAAAGGUCGGGGCCCAACCCCGGGACUGCAUUGGAAACUGUUGAACUGGAGUACAGGAGAGGCAAGCGGAAUUCCUGGUGUAGCGGUGAAAUGCGUAGAUAUUAGGAGGAACACCAGUGGCGAAGGCGGCUUACUGGACUGUAACUGACGUUGAGGCUCGAGAGCGUGGGGAGCAAACAGGAUUAGAUACCCCUGUAGUC
rnacentral:rRNA from 1 species